rnacentral:lncRNA from 1 species
UGAGAAACCUGGGUGGUUUCUCUGCGCUGAACGGCCGCCCCUAUUCUUCUCGACCACCAGAGAUUAGCAGGGAGGGCGGCAGGCUGCCGCCCUUGUCGGAGGGCAGCGGAAGACCCACCAUCACUCCGACCGCUGCGGCACAAGCCGCUGUUCACGCGGUUGCACCGAAGAUACUGCGGGUGGUGGUGGAUCCAGCCACCGCCACCACCACCCCCUUCAGUCGGUUCGCUGCCCCAUUCGCCAUCAUUGGCAUGGCUGUGGCCGUGGCCGCUGCCCCAUUUGCCGGAUGGUGUGGGUCGGCCUAUGCGGCCGGCCCCAAACAAAAAACCCCUUUAUUUUAUUUUAUUUUCAAGAAAUUAAUAAACCUUGAUUUAGUUUUCAA